rnacentral:lncRNA from 1 species
AAACUCAUAAGGGAGCUACCAUUUGAUUUUUAUGGGGGGGCUAGGAUGAAAUUUGAAAAAAAUAGGCAGGACAGGAGUUUUGAGUGAAAAAAAAGGCAGGAUGAGACGCUUGCAAAAAAAAAAGUCAGGACGACAAUUUAGGUAAAAAAAAGUCAGGAUAAACUAAAAAAAAAAAAGGCAGGACCGAACAGAGUGAAAAAUAAAAAGGCAGGACAGAGAUUACAGCUAAAAAAAAAAAAUGCAGGACAAAAUUUUUCAUCCUAGCCCCCCAUAAAAAUCAAAUGGUAGCUCCCUAA